AUCCGACCCAACAUUAUUCUUGUGCUUACCGAUGAUCAAGAUGUGGAGCUGGGGUCCCUGCAAGUCAUGAACAAAACGAGAAAGAUUAUGGAACAUGGGGGGGCCACCUUCAUCAAUGCCUUUGUGACUACACCCAUGUGCUGCCCGUCACGGUCCUCCAUGCUCACCGGGAAGUAUGUGCACAAUCACAAUGUCUACACCAACAACGAGAACUGCUCUUCCCCCUCGUGGCAGGCCAUGCAUGAGCCUCGGACUUUUGCUGUAUAUCUUAACAACACUGGCUACAGAACAGGCAACGGCAUUAGGAAGCAAGUAAAACAUUCAGAUGGAGGAAUUCUACAGGUACAGGUGCUCCUUGACUUACGAUGGGGUGACAUCCCAAUAAACCCAUCAUAAGUUGAAAAUAAGCCUUUUUUGGAAAAUACCUCAAUGAAUAUAAUGGCAGCUACAUCCCCCCUGGGUGGCGAGAAUGGCUUGGAUUAAUCAAGAAUUCUCGCUUCUAUAAUUACACUGUUUGUCACAAUGGCAUCAAAGAAAAGCAUGGAUUUGAUUAUGCAAAG
rnacentral:sRNA from 1 species